GACGAACGCUGGCGGCGUGCUUAACACAUGCAAGUCGAACGAUGAACGCUGGAGCUUGCUCCGGCUGGAUUAGUGGCGAACGGGUGAGUAACACGUGAGCAAUCUGCCCUUGACUCUGGGAUAACUCCGAGAAAUCGGUGCUAAUACCGGAUAUGACCCCUGGCGGCAUCGCUGGGGGUGGAAAGUUUUUCGGUCAAGGAUGAGCUCGCGGCCUAUCAGCUUGUUGGUGAGGUAAUGGCUCACCAAGGCG
rnacentral:rRNA from 1 species